UAGAAGACAGUACAUAAUUGAGGCCUGCAAAGUGGAUGCAUAACUUCCGGAAAACGAUUUGUCCUAACGUCAGGGUGUAUAGAGAAGGCGUGUUGUUCGUCUGUCUGGGGUGGUUGGGCUCGUUGGUGCUUCGCGGCCUGUCUGCAGACCGCUGGCACUGACCGUCAUGUGGCCGUUAGACUGCUCGAACAGUGAACGGCUAACUUGUAACUGGAACGGAAAAUGGGAAUCUGACUGUCGGAUUAAAAAAAAAGCAUUGCAACAUCAGCAAACGGUGCUGACAGAGUAUGAUUUCAGCCCAGUGCUCUGAAUGUCCAUGUGACGAAAAGCAAUCGCUUGCUAACAACGACCGCAACCAUGAUAUUCUGUAAGGUAGCAAAAUGUCUUGUCAUCUUAGUAGGGACGUGAGUGCAUGAGUCAACGAGAUUCCUAAUGCCUGCAUCCAUUACAUGGCGAAAACACAGCCAAAGGGGCGGGUUCGC
rnacentral:ncRNA from 1 species